rnacentral:rRNA from 1 species
UACGUAGGGGGCAAGCGUUGUCCGGAAUUAUUGGGCGUAAAGAGCUCGUAGGCGGUUUGUCGCGUCUGCUGUGAAAUCCCGAGGCUCAACCUCGGGCCUGCAGUGGGUACGGGCAGACUGGAGUGCGGUAGGGGAGAAUGGAACUCCUGGUGUAGCGGUGGAAUGCGCAGAUAUCAGGAAGAACACCGAUGGCGAAGGCAGUUCUCUGGGCCGUAACUGACGCUGAGGAGCGAAAGCGUGGGGAGCGAACAGG